UUGUUUUAGGUCCUCAACUAGGGGUAGUAACAUUGUGAAAGAACUGUUUUAGAAAGUGACCCUGAGUGUGGCAGCUCAAUACAGUCUCCAUUUAUAGGAAGCAUUUCGGAAGCUUUAAUAUAUGCUAGGCAGUGUACUGCCGCUUUCUGUAAAUUAUUGAUAUGUCAUUGAAUCCACAAAAUAAACAGCCAGUUAUUAACAUUAUUUUACAAGUGAGGAAACCAAGGUUCUGGGAUACAGAUGGGCUGAAGGGAAGCUCACCAGCCAUACACACACUCAAGUGAUCAGAAAACAAACUUCUACAGGAGCUGGGCACCCGUGGGCAGUGACUGUUCACUUCUUUGGGCAAGAAUGCUGAAAACAAUAAUUUACAUGUGAGACGGAGGUUCCACAGGAGAAAGCAUAGGCUAACAGCAAGAGCUUCCACUCUCAAAUUACUGAUAUGUAAAAGAGCUUAACACAGCAAACCUGCAUCGUCCAAGUUUCCUAAAAGAACACUCGAGUUUUAGUCCAGGCCUACACAUUGCUCUUAAAAAGUGUAAAAUGCCAGAUGCAAAACAUGAGAAUACAAAAGGAUAUCUGUACUCAUGGGCUGUAAUUGACUGUUGGCUACAGCUCUGCGGUGCUGAGGAUGAAAGCCUGCUUGGAACUGGUUCAGAAGACAAUGAUUCUCUGAAUUUGCCUUUGUCUGGCAAGAUGUAGCUCCCUACCGUCCCUAGCAUCUCCUCCUCCGUGAGUUUGUCUGCACGGCCUUUCUCCACAACAUGCACCACGCUGCACCCUCACUUUGGGUCAUCCGGGGUCAGGCAUCCUCCCUGCUCUCCACUAGGUGACAGCUUGGAUAUAUGAAAAAUACAGCAUUCCCUAAAUGUUGUCAAGAGAUUGGCGAGCACCAGUAUUUAUCCAACCGGCCUGGCGGAAAUGACAGAAGAGGGAAAUUUCAGAGCCAAGGCAGUUUUUGACAGUGCUUCAGAUUCUGCCUUAGACUCAUGGAAAGUUGGUACUCAAGAAGGUACCUUAGGGAUAAUUUAAUCCACCACCCCUCUUUGACUGUGAGAAAACUGAAGCCAAAGCAGUGAAGAGAUUCACGUUAGGUCUUGCACAGAUGGGUAGACAGAGAUUCAGAACCAGGACUGGAUGAUCCUGACUCUGUUUCAGUCAUGUUAAAGCUGGCCAACAGGUACAUUUGACAACCCACACUCUGAACUGAUGUUCAUAAAGGUAUCCUAUAUCCAGCACAUUAAUGCCCAUUUCUCUGAGAAUUAGGCAAACAAGUUGGAAAAUUUUGAGUGGAAGACAGUGGCUGUAAAAGUGGGGAGAAAUUCCUGUAUAGACUUGCUCACUGGAAGCAAGUCCUUGGCUUCCCCAAGACAAAGGACAGUAUUAGUCACAAGGUUAAAGUUAAAAACUGGUGGUGCCUCCUGGCUGAGGGCAGACAUCCUUCUGGGAAAGCUGUAGGCUAAAAUGAAUAUCCACUGGAAGGGCUGAUGGCUAAAGCUGAAGCUCCAGUAUUUUGGUCACCUGAU